rnacentral:misc_RNA from 1 species
AAGUCGUAACAAGGUUUCCGUAGGUGAACCUGCGGAAGGAUCAUUAUAAAAUUUUUCAUAUGUUAAAUUUAUUUUAAUAUAUAAAAUUUAUACAAAAAUGUAUUCAAAACCCACACACUUUAUAACCAUAAAAAAACAAUUAUUAUAUCUUUGUAUAUAAUAUAAAAAAACAACUUUCAACAACGGAUCUCUUGGCUCUC